GACGAACGCUGGCGGCGUGCUUAACACAUGCAAGUCGAACGGAAAGGCCCUGCUUGCAGGGUACUCGAGUGGCGAACGGGUGAGUAACACGUGGGUGAUCUGCCCUGCACUUCGGGAUAAGCCUGGGAAACUGGGUCUAAUACCGGAUAGGAGCCAUUUUUAGUGUGAUGGUUGGAAAGUUUUUUCGGUGUUGGAUGAGCUCGCGGCCUAUCAGCUUGUUGGUGGGGUAAUGGCCUACCAAGGCGGCGACGGGUAGCCGGCCUGAGAGGGUGGACGGCCACAGUGGGACUGAGAUACGGCCCAGACGCCGACGGGAGGCAGCAGUGGGGAAGAUUGCACAAUGGGCGCAAGCCGGAUGCAGCGACGCCGCGGGGGGGAUGACGGCCUUCGGGUUGUAAACUCCUUUCGCUAGGGACGAAGCUUUUUGUGACGGUACCUAGAGAAGAAGCACCGGCUAACUACGUG
rnacentral:rRNA from 1 species